UGGGGAAUUUUGGACAAUGGGCGAAAGCCUGAUCCAGCAAUGCCGCGUGUGUGAAGAAGGCCUUCGGGUUGUAAAGCACUUUUGUCCGGAAAGAAAUCCUUGGCUCUAAUACAGUCGGGGGAUGACGGUACCGGAAGAAUAAGCACCGGCUAACUACGUGCCAGCAGCCGCGGUAAUACGUAGGGUGCAAGCGUUAAUCGGAAUUACUGGGCGUAAAGCGUGCGCAGGCGGUUUGCUAAGACCGAUGUGAAAUCCCCGGGGCUCAACCUGGGAACUGCAUUGGUGACUGGCAGGCUAGAGUAUGGCAGAGGGGGGUAGAAUUCCACGUGUAGCAGUGAAAUGCGUAGAGAUGUGGAGGAAUACCGAUGGCGAAGGCAGCCCCCUGGGCCAAUACUGACGCUCAUGCACGAAAGCGUGGGGAGCAAAACAGGAUUAGAUACCCUGGUAGUCCACGCCCUAAACGAUGUCGACUAGUUGUUGGGGACUUCAUUUCCUUAGUAACGUAGCUAACGCGUGAAGUUGACCGCC
rnacentral:rRNA from 1 species